rnacentral:rRNA from 1 species
UACGUAGGGUGCGAGCGUUGUCCGGAAUUAUUGGGCGUAAAGAGCUCGUAGGCGGUGUGUCACGUCGGCCGUGAAAACCUGCAGCUUAACUGUGGGCGUGCGGUCGAUACGGGCAUCACUGGAGUUCGGCAGGGGAGACUGGAAUUCCUGGUGUAGCGGUGAAAUGCGCAGAUAUCAGCAGGAACACCGGUGGCGAAGGCGGGUCUCUGGGCCGAUACUGACGCUGAGGAGCGAAAGCGUGGGGAGCAAACAGG